UUUACUAUUCCCAAUGUGAUACUGACUAUCAUUGUAUAUUGCUUUAAUUAUAACAUUCUUAUUUCGAUUGGAGUUUAAAAAAUCUUUAAGAUAAAUUGAAUUAAAGCGUAUAAACAAUACUAAUAAAGAAGCCUACCUAAGUUUUAUGAUCUCAACUCAAGACAGGAUAAAGCGGGCUAUAGCUUCAAUGCUUCAAUGCCCUUGAUCAACCGUGCUCCAGAGAUGCUUCUAAGAACUUAUAAUAGUUUUCUUUAUUUUCUUGCUUAUCUUCUUUAAUUCAACUAAAAGAGUUAGUUGCUCAUCGUUGUAUCAAACUGAAUGCUUUAUUGAUAGAAAUAUUUUACAAAUAUUCUUCUCUCUAUUACUUAAAUUCUGAAAACUCGCUCUACUCUUUACUCCGAUCAUCCUACCAUUUAUAUAGAAAGAUAGAAAAUAAAGAAGUGAUUGUCGUUAGGCGACAUAUCACAUCUAAUUUAUUAAAGGGAUAAGAUUCCCUUCAAUUAUUUACAUUAGUGGGUUUUAAAGGUUACCCCACAACCUUAUCUUCUGACGCGUCUACAUUUGUCGUGGUGCGUUGGCUGAAUGUGUUCCAUCGCU
rnacentral:lncRNA from 1 species